UUUCCGUAGGUGAACCUGCGGGAGGAUCAUUACCGAUUAAAAAGGGAUAUUACUCGAAGGGUGAGUAAUAUGAAUGCUCGGGAGUUUCUCUAAUGAUGCAGUGUCAAAGCUGUGUUGAAUGAAGCUCCUGUGCUAGUUUUAUCGAGCUCUGAAAUUGCAUGGCUUGUUCAUGUUUGUUGUGAGCUGGAUUGGACUCAAUCUGUUUCGGCCAUUGUCGCCGGAAUGGGCCCCUGUAUGAAAAGAAGGGGAAGCUGUUGGUGGAGAUGUUUGAAUUGUUUUAGGUAGGCCAUUGUGCGUAUUAAAGACUUGAUUCGCCAGCAAUUCAUAAAACUCCUGUUUAUAGUUUCCUUUUUGUAGUAAUGCAGGUUUAAAAUAGCUAUAUCUCUCCACAUUUAUUUGAGGAUAGAGUAUUUAGCAAAGCAAAACGUUUGUGAUUGAGAACAUUCAGUAAAAGAAUUGUUAAAAUAAAAAUUAACCUCGAGUGGUGGAUCACUCGGCUCGU
rnacentral:misc_RNA from 1 species